rnacentral:rRNA from 1 species
CCGGCGCACGGGUGAGUAACACGUAUCCAACCUGCCGUCUACUCUUGGACAGCCUUCUGAAAGGAAGAUUAAUACAAGAUGGCAUCAUGAGUCCGCAUGUUCACAUGAUUAAAGGUAUUCCGGUAGACGAUGGGGAUGCGUUCCAUUAGAUAGUAGGCGGGGUAACGGCCCACCUAGUCUUCGAUGGAUAGGGGUUCUGAGAGGAAGGUCCCCCACAUUGGAACUGAGACACGGUCCAAACUCCUACGGGAAGCAGCAUG